GAAGGAACAGUCCAGGGUGAAAGCGGGUGGUACCAGCAGACAGAGGAAAGCGCUCCUGUGUUGUACGAAGUCGACGAAUUCGGUCAAUGGAAAUUAAUAAUGUAAA
rnacentral:snRNA from 16 species